rnacentral:rRNA from 1 species
UGGACAAUGGGGGGAACCCUGAUCCAGCCAUGCCGCGUGUGUGAAGAAGGCCUUUUGGUUGUAAAGCACUUUAAGUGGGGAGGAGGCUUACCUGGUUAAUACCUGGGCUAAGUGGACGUUACCCACAGAAUAAGCACCGGCUAACUCUGUGCCAGCAGCCGCGGUAAUACAGAGGGUGCGAGCGUUAAUCGGAUUUACUGGGCGUAAAGCGCGCGUAGGUGGUUAAUUAAGUCAAAUGUGAAAUCCCCGAGCUUAACUUGGGAAUUGCAUUCGAUACUGGUUAGCUAGAGUAUGGGAGAGGAUGGUAGAAUUCCAGGUGUAGCGGUGAAAUGCGUAGAGAUCUGGAGGAAUACCGAUGGCGAAGGCAGCCAUCUGGCCUAAUACUGACACUGAGGUGCGAAAGCAUGGGGAGCAAACAGGAUUAGAUACCCUGGUAGUCCAUGCCGUAAACGAUGUCUACUAGCCGUUGGGGGAUUUGAUCCUUUAGUGGCGCAGCUAACGCGAUAAGUAGACCGCCUGGGGAGU